rnacentral:rRNA from 1 species
CACGAAACUGCACGCUCCGGCGUGACAGCGUACUGGGGAUGCCUGUGUAGAUGCAGUCCGGGCUUGCCUGGACCGCUAGCAGAUGGGCUCUGUGGAUGACUGGCCGCUGGCUAGACCUGAAACCUGAGCAACGGGAGGUAACCUCUCGCCGCGGACACCGGAAUGGUAGAAGCGGCGUGCUGCGUCCUCCUCUUGGGGCCCCUAAGCCACACCUCCCAUAGCGGGUUCGGUGCGGCGGACGGACGCCCUGGGGAAUUUAGAGGGGGAAAGCGGAUUGCCCUAGCGGUGUUGUUGGCCCUGCCGACCUCACUGCGAAAGGCGCGACUUCACCGUCGCCACCCAGUAACUUGUCUCUCCGGCGCUUCACGGCGCUGGUGGCCAACCCCGGCACACGAUAGUUACCUGGUUGAUUCUGCCAGUAGUCAUAUGCUUGUCUCAAAGAUUAAGCCAUGCAUGUCUAAGUAUAAGCAAUUAUACCGCGAAACUGCGAAUGGCUCAUUAUAUAAGUUAUCGUUUAUUUGAUAGUACCUUACUACUUGGAUCUCAACGCUUAUAAGUCAGAUUCCACACCAGAA